rnacentral:rRNA from 1 species
AUACGGAGGAUCCGAGCGUUAUCCGGAUUUAUUGGGUUUAAAGGGUGCGCAGGCGGCCAUUUAAGUCAGCGGUUAAAUCGUGGGGCUCAACCCCAUUCUGCCGUUGAUACUGGGUGGCUUGAUUGCGGUCGAGGUUGGCGGAAUUCGUUGUGUAGCGGUGAAAUGCAUAGAUAUGACGAAGAACACCGAUUGCGUAGGCAGCUGACCAGACCGCAAAUGACGCUCAUGCACGAAAGUGCGGGGAUCGAACAGGAUUAGAUACCCUGGUAGUCCGCACAGUAAACGAUGAAUACUCGCUGUUUGCGAUACACGGUAAGCGGCCAAGCGAAAGCGUUAAGUAUUCCACCUGGGGAGUACGCCGGCAACGGUGAAACUCAAAUGAAUUGGCGGGG